rfam:Nectria haematococca mpVI 77-13-4 chromosome 3 genomic scaffold NECHAsca_54_chr3_4_0, whole genome shotgun sequence.
GCACCUCUCCCGACCUGGCACAACAUCCUGCUGAGAUGUUGUCUUCCGACCUGCAGUGUCACAUGUCGGCGGAGAUGC